UACGUAGGCAGCAAGCGUUGUUCGGAGUUACUGGGCGUAAAGGGCGCGUAGGCGGACAGUUUAGUCAGAGGUGAAAGCCCAGGGCUCAACCUUGGAAUUGCCUUUGAUACUGGCUGUCUUGAGUACGGGAGAGGUGAGUGGAACUCCGAGUGUAGAGGUGAAAUUCGUAGAUAUUCGGAAGAACACCAGUGGCGAAGGCGGCUCACUGGCCCGGUACUGACGCUGAGGUGCGAAAGCGUGGGGAGCAAACAGG
rnacentral:rRNA from 1 species